AGGCUUGGACAACCUGGCUGCGACAGUGGAACCCUCCUAAAAACCGGGUGCCAAGAGACGUAACUGGUCUUGUGGGGACAGGAUUGGGAAUCCUAAAUAGUAUUGAUUCAGAAGUAUUAAUGAAUAAAUUGGCUUCCACAACUAAAGAUUUAACCAAAAUACAACAACCACUGCAAUCGUCCUUAUCAGCCUUGGGAACACAUCAGUGGUUGCUAUCAAACAUUCUACCAAAUUGGGAAAAGAUAAAUGUAAAUAAUAGCAAAUUGAUAAUUGAUGGACUUAAUGCCACACAAAGCAACGUUUCCUUAGCUCUUAGCUGUAUCCAGGCUCAAUUAUGGAUGCAGUCAGUUGCUGCCUCAAUUAUAAGAGAAGGUGAAGAAGGCACUUUUCCUACUGAGAUUAGGAAAAUAGUCUGGGACAGUGCCACUGACUUCGAAAGAGAUUUCCAAUCCUGGUGGAAUUUAGUGAAUUUUACCUAUGACCCUAACACAAACACAGCCACAGCAUUUGUGCUGACCAUAAGAAAUGCCUCGGUGCAUUUGAUAUUCCCUAUCAUUGCACUAGGAUUAAAUCAUGAUGGACCCACUUUCUAUCCUUCUGAACAUAGAGAAUGGGCCCGUCAAAUUGAUGACAAAUGGCAAACUGUCAAUUUAGAGUCCUGUACCAUCUGAGAACAACUAGGGUUUAUCUGUGAAGGUAAUGCAAUUGUAGCUCAAGAUAUUUGUCUGGACACAGAACAAAAUAGCUGUCAUUUUGAUAUUCAUCCUAACGAGACUUCUGAAACAGUCCUUGUAUAUACAGACAAUGGGUGUGCCUGCUUCAGAACCGCUUGUGAUACUGUGUUUAUAGAAAGUACAGUAGUAGAUACUAAAAAUCAUUCAAAUUUUUGUGCUUGUAACUUUACUAAAAUUGCAGGAUGUGAUUUUUCUUUUGUAGCUCCAGUUACUUCACAUGAACUUUUAGAAUCCAAUCUCACGUUGAUUCACAAGCUACUGCCUACUCCCAUUGGGAUGAACCUUACUCUGGUAAAGCAAUUAUUACUUCAUCAAGAUCUAAUAGAGAUCCUAGGAAAAAUCAAGGGGAAUGGACAGAAAACUCUGGUAACUGUUCAUCAUGAUGUGCAAGAAAUACAUCGUGUUGUAGAAAGGGUGAAAAGUGAUGCUGAGCACAAGUGGUGGGAUACCCUUUUCGGGUGGUCACCCACCGCCACCGGUAUCCUGAACAAAUUGUGCCAUCCCAUUGUUGUUCUUCUGGUUUUAGUUAUGAUUGGUUUUGUUUUAUCAGUAAUCUUGCUUAUUGUAAAUUGGAGAAUGAUGAAACGAUGAACAAAAUUAACAUCUAUAAUUAAUGCACACCACUUGGCCGACAUCCUUUACACUAUAGAUGUUCCCAGGACUGUAGACACAAGAAGAUUAUAAGUUUUCCUGUUUUCUCUUUCUUUCCCUUUUCCUCUUCUCUUUUCCCUGCGACGUGCUGCCAACACUUGACGAGUCCUGAAGACUCCACGACGACACCAUGGAAUCCUGCUGAUGAAGAUCUUUCGAGGGCAAUCGUCAGUCACGGGGUGGUGUAAGAGCCCGUCUGAAGCCCCUCAUUUUCCAUUCUGCCUUCCGAUUGCCACAAGAAAGAAUCCCAUCCCCCACUGUAGUUCCGGCUUAGAACAGGACACAGCACAGGUGGAACCACUGAACCGUCACGCUGGCUGUUCCGAACAAGGCCUGGUAAGAACUUGGCAAGGACUUGGCAAGGACUUGGCAAAGACCUGACGUGGACCCAGCACGGGACAGCCUGAUGCGCGGCCUGCUUCUAAUCUCCGUUCUUAAGCCAAAUGAACUUUUGGGGUGACUCUCGCGGUCCUUCAUUGAAGACCCCUCAUCUGCCUCGUUACCACUGUGACAAACAAAGAAUGAGAACCCUCCUCCCAAGGACUGAGACUGAGACCCCUGCUAUAGGGAGGAGGGGAAAUUGGUGGUCUGACCACUAAUGACAUGACCUGUUUCCCUUCAGUGAUUCAAAUGGACUUAUUCUUCAUUGGAUUCGUCUUGCUUUGGUGGUUACUGUGGACUCACCUGUUCCCUCGGGGCGAUUACAAUGGACUUUCAUUAUUACACUUGUUCCCCCCCUCUCUCCUCUGUGGACUAUAAUUGGACCCCCAAGUCGACCAGAACUUCGAAGACUCCCCCGACACGACAGAUGGAUCCCCAUCGUCCGGAGCACUGAGGAUCUCGCCUGUGUUGGUAGCUAUUCCCAUAUCCCUCUUCUCUCUCUAUCCUUUUAUCUCCUUUCAGAUCCCCACUAUCGCGUUUACUGUUUUGGCCCCUAAUAAAGGUGCAUUUGUUGUGAUUAA